rfam:Papilio machaon contig47427, whole genome shotgun sequence.
UCCUGUAAGCGCUAGUGGCUAGGAUAUCUGGCUCUCACCCAGAAGGCUCGGGUUCGAUUCCCGGUACGAGAA